rnacentral:rRNA from 1 species
ACGAACGCUGGCGACGUGCUUAACACAUGCAAGUCGAACGGAAAGGCCCUGCUUUUGUGGGGUGCUCGAGCGGCGAACGGGUGAGUAACACGUGAGUAACCUGCCCUUGACUUUGGGAUAACUUCAGGAAACUGGGGCUAAUACCGGAUAGGAGCUCCUGCUGCAUGGUGGGGGUUGGAAAGUUUCGGCGGUUGGGGAUGGACUCGCGGCUUAUCAGCUUGUUGGUGGGGUAGUGGCUUACCAAGGCUUUGACGGGUAGCCGGCCUGAGAGGGUGACCGGCCACAUUGGGACUGAGAUACGGCCCAGACUCCUACGGGAGGCAGCAGUGGGGAAUAUUGCACAAUGGGCGGAAGCCUGAUGCAGCAACGCCGCGUGCGGGAUGACGGCCUUCGGGUUGUAAACCGCUUUCGCCUGUGACGAAGCGUGAGUGACGGUAAUGGGUAAAGAAGCACCGGCUAACUACGUG